CCUACGGGGGGCUGCAGUGAGGAAUAUUGGUCAAUGGGCGCUAGCCUGACCCAGCCAAGUAGCGUGAAGGAUGACUGCCCUAUGGGUUGUAAACUUCUUUUAUAUGGGAAUAAAGUGCAGUAUGUAUACUGCUUUGCAUGUACCUUAUGAAUAAGGAUCGGCUAACUCCGUGCCAGCAGCCGCGGUAAUACGGAGGAUUCGAGCGUUAUCCGGAUUUAUUGGGUUUAAAGGGAGCGUAGGCGGGUUGUUAAGUCAGUUGUGAAAGUUUGCGGCUCAACCGUAAAAUUGCAGUUGAUACUGGCAGCCUUGAGUACAGUAGAGGUAGGCGGAAUGCGUGGUGUAGCGGUGAAAUGCUUAGAUAUCACGAAGAACUCCGAUUGCGAAGGCAGCCUGCUGGACUGUAACUGACGCUGAUGCUCGAAAGUGUGGGGAGCAAACAGGAUUAGAUACCCGGGGAGUC
rnacentral:rRNA from 1 species